rnacentral:rRNA from 1 species
CAAUCACUUGUCUUUUAAAUGGGGACCCGUAUGAAUGGCAAGACGAGGGCUUAACUGUCUCCUUUUUCCAGUCAAUGAAAUUGAUCCCCCCGUGCAGAAGCGGGGAUUAGCACAUAAGACGAGAAGACCCUGUGGAGCUUUAGAUGCUAAGACAGAUGCUGUCAAACAACCCUAGUACAAAGGUCUGAACUCAAGCGAACCCUGUCUAAAUGUCUUUGGUUGGGGCGACCACGGGGAAAUGAAAAACCCCCGCGCGGACUGGAAGACUCACAAUUUAACCACCCCCUUCUAGAAAUAAGAGUGUCCGCUCUAGUUAACAGAAACUUUGACCGACCAGAUCCGGCAAUAAGCCGAUUAACGAACCCAGUUACCCCAGGGAUAACAGCGCAAUCCUCUUUCAGAGCUCA